UGUGUUACUUAAUCCUCAUAAGAGCUAUUGAAGGUAUUUAGAAAUAUUCUUCCCACUUCACAGACGAGGAAACUGAGCUAUGCAGUAAGCUUGGAAGUUGGAGAACCAGGAUUGGAGUUCAGGAGGUCUCACUCUCAGCCCUGUGCUCUGCUGGACGAGCUUUUCUUAGUUGAAGGAUUGAAGCAUUUUAUAUCGAUUGCAUCAAGAGAAACCCAGGCCUCCUGUAAAAUGGACCUAACUCUGCUGCCUCCUAUUUCCCAUUACAAUCCAUGAAGGAUUUAUUAGUCUUGCACUCACUGGCUGAGUGACGUUGGGUGAGUCACUGUCUGAGCUUCAGCUUCCUAUCCAUAAAAUGGGAAUAGCAAUACAAUGGGAUUGUUGUGAAGACUGAAAUAAAACAAACACUGUUAUAUGGAAGAGUAUUUUAAGCUAUAAAAUGCUAUAAAAAACUAGGAAUUUGUAUUCUUUGGCUCCUAAAGUCCAGACAUUCUGUCUUAUGCUACUCAGGUUUGUCUUCCACCUCUAGCAGAUUUACAUUCACAGAGCAAAAGUCAUGAACAUUUAUAAAAAUGUUUUUUUUUUUUUUUUCCCCCUCAACUGUGGGGAGAUGUUGGCCAAAGCAUAGGAAGUUUCAGUUAGACUGGAGAUCUAUUUUACAGCAUGGUGACUAUAGUUAAUAAUCAUGUGUUAUACAAUUGAAAAUUGCUAGGAGAGUGGAUUUUAAAUGUUUUCAUCAUAAAAACUGGUCAAUACAUGAGGUGACGGAGAUGUUAAUUCAACUGAUAAAUCAUUCCACAUUAUAUACAUAUGUCAAAACAUCAAGUUUUAUACCAUAAAUACAUCCAAGUUUUUAUAUGUUAAUUAAAAAUAAAAAAUAGUAAGAAUACAGUUAAAAGAGGAGUUUUGCUAUUUUUAAAAACUAUAGACAUGUAAUUUAAAAAGAUGGGUAGUAUUAGUAUUAAUUUUAGUUCUUUCCCUGGUAUAGGAUAAACUUGAUCAGGUUAUUAUCCAGCUUUGCCUCUUCACCCUUACUAGACUAUGAUGCCCUCAAGGGCAGCAAUUAUCUCUUUAUUCCCCCAGUUCAACACAGCGUGUUUGUGAGUAGAUUGUCAGUAAAUGUUUGCUUUAAAAAAAUGCACGAACUGCAACUUCUCCAUCUUUAAAGAAUGAGAGUAGGGGCUGGGCACGGUGGCUCACGCCUGUAAUCCCAGCACUUUGGGAGGCCAAGGCAGGUGGAUCACGAGGUCAGGAUUUCAAGACCAGCCUGGCCAACAUGGUGAAACCCCGUCUCUACUAAAAAAUACAAAAAUUACCCGGGUGUGGUGGUGGCCGCCUGUAGUCCCAGCUACUCGGGAGACUGAGGCGGGAGAAUUGCUUGAACCCAGGAGGCAGAGGUUGCCGUGAGCUGAGAUCACGCCACUGCACUCCAGCCUGGCAACAGAGUGAGACUCAGUCUCAGAAAAAAAAGGAAUGAGAGUGGGACUUCUUCAGGUUUCUUCCAAGCAAGGCGUGU
rnacentral:lncRNA from 10 species